rnacentral:rRNA from 1 species
AACGAACGUUGGCGGCGUGGAUUAGGCAUGCAAGUCGUACGAGUUUCAUCUGGGUAACUGGCUGAAAAAAGUGGCGAAAGGGGCAGUAAGGCAUGGAUAAUCUACCCUGAUGACCGGGAUAGCUGUCCCAACGGGCAGGUAAUACCGGAUGAGCUGGUGGGGCCGCAUGGUUCUGCCAGGAAAGGCGCAAGCCGUGUCGGGAGGAAUCCAUGUGAUAUUAGCUAGUUGGUGAGGUAAAGGCUCACCAAGGCGAAGAUGUCUAGCGGGUGUGAGAGCACGACCCGCGCCAUUGGCACGGAGACACUGGCCAGACUCCGACGGGAGGCUGCAGGCGAGGAUCUUCGGCAAUGGGCGAAAGCCUGACCGAGCGACGCCGCGUGAGCGAUGAAGGCCAUUAGGUUGUAAAGCUCUGUCGAGGGGGAACAAGCCGCAAGGUUGAGUGAUCCCUGGAGGAAGCACGGGCUAAGUUCGUG